GACUUCUUUUCGAAGGAUACUUCUCCUG
rnacentral:piRNA from 1 species